GGCCAGCAAGGGGACAGGCUGGACCAUCUAGACACAAGACCCCAGAUUCAGUAAAUACAUUUUGGACCUGGGAAAGCUCCAGCAUCUAAAUACCCUGCCCCAUGUAGAUGUGGUCUAAGAUUGCCUGGAGAAGGGAGAAGCCUAAGGAAGGAUGGAAGAAGAAGCCGAAGGGAGAAAAAAGGAGGCUGAAGCAGGACUUGGAUCAAAGCCCAAUGCCUUUGCAGGUGCCUGAAGUUGUAGAGCCAGGGAAUCCACUAAUUGGCGAGCAUUCCGAUCCUCAGUCAAGGUUGGUUUUGCCAGAUGUUGUUGACGCAGGGGAGGAUAUUGCUUUUAAUCAGAGGGAAUCUUUUGCUAAGGAAAGGAGUGAAAGGGAGGGGGUGAGACGGAGUCAAAGGUUGGCUCUCAGGUGCAUUAAUGACUAACUUUCCCAUGUGAAGUUCUGCACAUCCCAACUCUCAUUUGACAUAGUCUUGAGAACUCCUUAAAGGUGCCUCUCUCCCUGCUCUGUUUGCGGUGUCAACUUUGCCUUGGGAAAGGACUCCACGUUCCAGUGUCUUGCUCCUUCCCUGUUCCCUGCCUUGUUCCCAUGCCUGGUUUCAGGAUCUCCAAGUUGUGUUUGUGCCUUGUGACUCUUGAGUAAACCUUGCCUUGCUAACCUUGAUUCCACGAUUCCUCAGUGGCUGUUUCUCAUGUGGAUUACAGUUUGUGGAUUUGCAGCGUCUUGUUCCUGUUCCUUGUAACUUCUGGCUGACCCUGUUUGGAUGGCGUUUAUGGACUAACACUGACUUCUUGUUGUAAACAACGAGUUCCAUUUGUGGAUUACAAUUGAGAGACUUUACUGGACUUGUUUUGAACAUUUAAAGACUUUAUACUUUGGACUAUUCUUUAUAAUGACUUUUUAUGCUACCUGCUUGCAUAUAUAUACAGUAGAGUCUCUCUUAUCCAACACUUGCUUAUCCAACGUUCUGGAUUAUCCAACACAUUUUUGUAGUCAAUGUUUUCGAUUCAUCGUGAUAUUUUGGUGCUAAAUUUGUAAAUACAGUAAUUACUACAUAGCAUUACUGUGUACUGAACUACUUUUUCUGUCAAAUUUGUUGUAUAACAUGGUGCUUUGGUGCUUAAUUUGUAAAAUCAUAACCUAAUUUGAUGUUUAAUAGGCUUUUCCUUCAUCUCUACUUAUUAUCCAACACAUUCACUUAUCCAAUGUUCUGCCGGUCUGUUUAUGUUGGAUGAGACUCUACUGUAUCUAUCUAUCUAUCUAUCUAUCUAUCUAUCUAUCUAUCUAUCUAUCUAUCUCAAUAAACUGCUUCGCUUGUGAUACUGGCUCCAGUGUGGUUUUCAGGGUGCUCUCGCAGCCUUGGGGUGUAACAACUUCUGCUUUGAAUUCAGUUGU